rnacentral:rRNA from 1 species
CCCAGACUCCUACGGGAGGCAGCAGUGGGGAAUAUUGCACAAUGGGGGGAACCCUGAUGCAGCGACGCCGCGUGAGUGAAGAAGUAUUUCGGUAUGUAAAGCUCUGUCAGCAGGGAAGAAGAAAGACGGUACCUGACCAAGAAGCCCCGGCUAACUACGUGCCAGCAGCCGCGGUAAUACGUAGGGGGCAAGCGUUAUCCGGAUUUACUGGGUGUAAAGGGAGCGUAGACGGCAGGGCAAGUCUGGAGUGAAAGGCGGGGGCUCAACCCCCGGACUGCUCUGGAAACUGUACGGCUGGAGUGCAGGAGAGGUAAGUGGAAUUCCUAGUGUAGCGGUGAAAUGCGUAGAUAUUAGGAGGAACACCAGUGGCGAAGGCGGCUUACUGGACUGUAACUGACGUUGAGGCUCGAAAGCGUGGGGAGCAAACAGGAUUAGAUACCCUAGUA